rnacentral:rRNA from 1 species
AUUCCCUUAGUAGCGGCGAGCGAAGCGGGAUAAGCCCAAUGUGAAAAGCCGCUUUUAUGUGGCGUUGUAGUUGAGCGCCCUUGAGGUGUCAGUCUGGGAAAGUCGCAUGGAAGUGCGUGCCGUGGAGGGUGAGAGCCCCGUCCAUCCCAUUCAGGACACUUCGUACACGGGUGUUUCAGACGAGUCGGGUAGCUUGGGAAUGCUGCUCUAAUUGGUGGUAAAUCUCAUCAAAGGCUAAAUAACGGUGGGAGACCGAUAGAGAACAAGUACCGUGAGGGAAAGAUGACAAGCACUUUGAAAAGAGGGUGAAAAGAGCCUGAAACCGUUACGGGGGAAGCGGAUUGCAUUGGAUUUGGAACGGGCGUCAUCGUGUUCAGUCUGUUCUGUUCUUUAAAACGGACAGAAUUAGGUGUAUUCACGUUUUUUGAUGCUCAACCGUCGUGGGUUCUCGGGCGGUGAUGAAAAUAUAUUUUUUUGACCGUCUGGGGACUGAGGGCUCCCCUAUUUUUUUUUGGGUUUUGAGGACGACGGUGUGACGAUGCGAUACGACCCGUCUUGAAACACGGACCAAGGAGUCUAGCGCGAUUGCGAGUCGAAGGGUGUGAAACAAACCUGUGGGCGCAGUGAAAGCAAACUUGUUCUCGUAAAAACAGAAAUGAAAACGGACAGUUUGAGGCGGCAUAAAAUCGUCGAUUUUAGGUCUGACCUUGAGCAGUUGCGCUGGGACCCGAAAGAUGGUGAACUAUGCCGGAGUAGGGCGAAGCCAGGGGAAACCCUGGUGGAGGCUCGCAGCGGUGCUGACGUGCAAAUCGCUCGUCGAACUUGGGUAUAGGGGCGAAAGACUAAUCGAACCAUCUAGUAGCUGGUUCCCUCCGAAGUUUCUCUCAGGAUAGCUGGGUGAUCAGCGUGUUGUUUUGUGCGGUAAAGCGAAUGAUUAGCGCAUUCGGGGGCGUCAAGCCUUUGGGCGAUUCUCAAACUUUAAAUGCGCAAGGGUACCGGUGCUUUGUUGAGCGGUCCCAACAUGUAAAAACAGUCACCUAUGUGGGCCACUUUUGGUAAGCAGAACUGGCGAUACGGGAUGAACCGUAAGCAUGGUUAAGGUGCCAAACUGCCCGCUUAUAGAACCCAAAAAAGGUGUUGGUUCAUCGAGACAGCAGGACGGUGGCCAUGGAAGUCGGAAUCCGCCAAGGAGUGUGUAACAACUCACCUGCCGAAUGAACUAGCCCUGAAAAUGGAUGGCGCUUAAGCGGGUGACCGACACCAUGCCGUCUGAAUAAAACAAAAUACAUUCGGAUGAGUAGGAGGGCGUGGCGGCCGUGGCGAAGGGCGCAUGCAGAUGCUCCUGGAACAGCCGCUAGUGCAGAUCUUGGUGGUAGUAGCAAAUAUUCAAGCGAGAUCCUUGAAGGGCGAAGCGGGGAAGGGUUCCACGCGAACAUUGAUUGGGCGUGGGUGAGUCGUUCCUAAGCCGAGUGGCAAUUGCUAAACUAGACUUUUUUUUACGGCGAAAGGGAAGUGGGUUGACAUUCCCACACACGGAUGUGGAGGCGGUGACGCGUUACUUGUUUGGGGCGAACACGCCGGCGAUGGCGCUGGGCAGAGUUGUCUUUUCUGUUUGACCGCUUAUAGACGCGGUGUGGAAUCCGCUUGUCGGGAGAAACACGCGUUUACGGGCAGAGCGCCGGGCUUAUUCCGGCGUCCAGCUCGCCAUCGACGGCCCUUGAAACUUUGCCUGCUGAAAACCGCAUAAAAACGGUUCAAAAUCCACGCCGUGGCGUACCGAUAUCCGCAUCAGGUCCCCGAGGUGAACAGCCUCUGCUCAGUAUGAAAAAUGCAGGUAAGGGAAGUCGGCAAAUUGGACCCGUAACUUUGGGAAAAGGGUUGGCUCUAGUGCUGCGUGGGAAUUGGUUGCUAGUCGAAACGAAAAAACAGCAAGGGGUGCUUAACACAUUCUUCGUUCAAUUUUUUCUUUUUUUACGGCGUAGUCCUCGGAUGCGAUGCGCGAGUUGGGAUGUGCGUGCGUCUGGUUUUCGGGCAUGACGUUCCGUUUUUUCUUCACCUUUUCGGAGGCAAAAGAGACUCGGCCCACUGAUUGUUUUUUUGAGGCUGGCGUGCAGCGCGCCCGAUUUGCGCGUCUUGUCUGGUCUGCGGCGCGGCCGGCGACGCCCACAGCAUGCAGCAAACUAGAACUGCAACGGGCAAAGGGAAUCCGACUGUUUAAUUAAAACAAAGCAUUGCGAGGGCCGUGGCCGGUGAUGACGCAAUGUGAUUUCUGCUCAGUGCUCUGAAUGUCAAAGUGAAGAGAUUCAACCAAGCGCGGGUAAACAGCGGGAGUAACUAUGACUCUCUUAAGGUAGCCAAAUGCCUCGUCAUCUAAUUAGUGACGCGCAUGAAUGGAUUAACGAGAUUCCUACUGUCCCUAUCUGCUUCUAGCGAAACCACAGCCGAGG